AUUGAACGCUGGCGGCAUGCCUUACACAUGCAAGUCGAACGGCAGCACGGACUUCGGUCUGGUGGCGAGUGGCGAACGGGUGAGUAAUGUAUCGGAACGUACCUUUCAGUGGGGGAUAACGUAGCGAAAGUUACGCUAAUACCGCAUAUUCUGUGAGCAGGAAAGCAGGGGAUCGCAAGACCUUGCGCUGAUUGAGCGGCCGAUAUCAGAUGAGCUAGUUGGUGGGGUAAAGGCCUACCAAGGCUACGAGCUGUAGCGGGUCUGAGAGGAUGAUCCGCCACACUGGAACUGAGACACGGUCCAGACUCCUACGGGAGGCAGCAGUGGGGAAUUUUGGACAAUGGGGGCAACCCUGAUCCAGCCAUGCCGCGUGAGUGAAGAAGGCCUUCGGGUUGUAAAGCUCUUUCGGCCGGGAAGAAAUCGCAUAGGCUAAUACCCUGUGUGGAUGACGGUACCGGAAUAAGAAGCACCGGCUAACUACGUGCCAGCCGCCGCCGUAAUAC
rnacentral:rRNA from 1 species